UGCCAGACUCCUACGGGAGGCAGCAGUGGGGGAUAUUGCACAAUGGGGGAAACCCUGAUGCAGCGACGCCGCGUGGGCGAAGAAGUAUUUCGGUAUGUAAAGCCCUAUCAGCAGGGAAGAAGAAAUGACGGUACCUGAGUAAGAAGCACCGGCUAAAUACGUGCCAGCAGCCGCGGUAAUACGUAGGGGGCAAGCGUUAUCCGGAUUUACUGGGUGUAAAGGGAGCGUAGACGGCGAUGCAAGCCAGAUGUGAAAGCCCGGGGCUCAACCCCGGGACUGCAUUUGGAACUGUGUGGCUGGAGUGUCGGAGAGGCAGGCGGAAUUCCUAGUGUAGCGGUGAAAUGCGUAGAUAUUAGGAGGAACACCAGUGGCGAAGGCGGCCUGCUGGACGAUGACUGACGUUGAGGCUCGAAAGCGUGGGGAGCAAACAGGAUUAGAUACCCCGGUACUU
rnacentral:rRNA from 1 species